ACGCUCGACACCUACGGGGGGCAGCAGUUAGGAAUAUUCGUCAAUGGAGGAAACUCUGAACGAGCAAUGCCGCGUGAGCGAUGAAGGCCCUAUGGGUCGUAAAGCUCUGUUGUAAAGGAAGAAUACUUGAUAUAGGAAAUGAUAUCAAGCUGACGGUACUUUACCAGAAAGCCCCGGCUAACUACGUGCCUGCAGCCGCGGUAAUCUGAGCGGGCUGGCAAGGC
rnacentral:rRNA from 1 species